CUUCCUUCGGGAAGUGGAUUAGCGGCGGACGGGUGAGUAACACGUGGGCAACCUGCCUCAAAGUGGGGGAUAGCCCUCCGAAAGGAGGAUUAAUACCGCAUAAUAUGAGAGAAUCGCAUGAUUUUUUCAUCAAAGAUUUAUUGCUUUGAGAUGGGCCCGCGGCGCAUUAGCUAGUUGGUGAGGUAACAGCUCACCAAGGCAACGAUG
rnacentral:rRNA from 1 species